rnacentral:rRNA from 1 species
GGCGAACGCUGGCGGCGUGCUUAACACAUGCAAGUCGAACGAAAAGAGGGAAAGAGCUUGCUCUUUCCGGAAUUGAGUGGCAAACGGGUGAGUAACACGUAAACAACCUGCCUUCAGGAUGGGGACAACAGACGGAAACGACUGCUAAUACCGAAUAAGUUCCAAGAGCCGCAUGGCCCAUGGAAGAAAAGGUGGCCUCUACCUGUAAGCUAUCGCCUGAAGAGGGGUUUGCGUCUGAUUAGCUGGUUGGAGGGGUAACGGCCCACCAAGGCGACGAUCAGUAGCCGGUCUGAGAGGAUGAACGGCCACACUGGAACUGAGACACGGUCCAGACUCCUACGGGAGGCAGCAGUGGGGAAUCUUCCGCAAUGGGCGAAAGCCUGACGGAGCAACGCCGCGUGAGUGAUGACGGCCUUCGGGUUGUAAAACUCUGUGAUCCGGGACGAAAAGGCAGAGUGCGAAGAACAAACUGCAUUGACGGUACCGGAAAAGCAAGCCACGGCUAACUACGUG